AGGUUUCUACGGGACGCAGCAGUGGGGAAUAUUGCACAAUGGGGGAAACCCCGAUGCAGCAACGCCGCGUGAGUGAAGAAGUCAUUCGUGAUGUAAAGCUCUAUCGGCAGGGAAGAAAAUGACGGUACCUGAGUAAGAAGCCCCGGCUAACUACGUGCCAGCAGCCGCGGUAAUACGUAGGUGGCAAGCGUCAUCCGGAUUUACUGGGUGUAAAGGGAGCGUAGACGGCCAGACAAGUCUGAAGUGAAAAUCCAGCGCUUAACGUUGGAAGUGCUUUGGAAACUGCCGGGCU
rnacentral:rRNA from 1 species